UGAGUCCGAGGAGCUACGGCUCUUAAGUGAUACGAGUCAGACUUCCCAGAAAAGCCCGAACCACGUUAAUCUCUAAUUACCUGUACCCGAAACCGACACAGGUGGGUAGGUAGAGUAUACUAAGGGGCGCGAGAUAACUCUCUCUAAGGAACUCGGCAAAAUGACUCCGUAACUUCGGGAGAAGGAGUGCCUUAUUUAUAAGGUUGCAAUAACAAGAUCCAAGCAACUGUUUAUCAAAAACACAGGUCUCCGCUAAGUCGUAAGACGAUGUAUGGGGGCUGACGCCUGCCCAGUGCCAGAAGGUUAAAGAAGUUGGUUAGUGUAUGCGAAGCUGAUGACUGAAGCCCUGGUGAACGGCGGCCGUAACAAUAACGGUCCUAAGGUAGCGAAAUUCCUUGUCGGGUAAGUUCCGACCCGCACGAAAGGCGUAAUGAUUUGGAUACUGUCUCGGAGAGAGGCUCGGUGAAAUAGACUUGUCUGUGAAGAUGCGGACUACCUGCACCAGGACAGAAAGACCCUAUGAAGCUUUACUGUAACUUGAAAUUGGAAUUGGACUUUGCUUGCGCAGUAUAGGUGGGAAGCGUUGAAGAUAUUCUUGCGGGAGUAUUGGAGCUAUCAGUGAGAUACCACUCUUGUAAUGUUAGAUUUCUAACUUUGAACCAUAAUCUGGUCAAAGAACAGUUUCAGGUGGGCAGUUUGACUGGGGCGGUCGCCUCCCAAAUGGUAACGGAGGCGUACAAAGGUUUCCUCUGAACGGAUAGAAAUCGUAUCUAGAGUGUAAAGGCAUAAGGAAGCUUGACUGUGAGACCUACAAGUCGAGCAGGGACGAAAGUCGGUCUUAGUGAUCUGACGGUACUGAGUGGAAAGGCCGUCACUCAACGGAUAAAAGUUACUCUAGGAUAACAGGCUGAUCUCCCCCAAGAGUUCACAUCGACGGGGAGGUUUGGCACCUCGAUGUCGGCUCAUCGCAUCCUGGGGCGGUAGUACGUCCCAAGGGUUGGGCUGUUCGCCCAUGAAAGCGGUACGCGAGCUGGGUUCAGAACGUCGUGAGACAGUUCGGUCCAUAUCCGGUGUAGGCGUUAGAAUAUUGAGAGGAGCCUUCUUUAGUACGAGAGGACCGAGAAGGACACACCGCUGGUGUACCAGUUAUCGUGCCAGCGGUAAACGCUGGGUAGCUAUGUGUGGAGUGGAUAACCGCUGAAAGCAUCUAAGUGGGAAGCCCACCUCAAGAUGAGUAUUCUC
rnacentral:rRNA from 1 species